CAGGCCCCGCCCCCUGUUUCCGCUGGCUGAGGCAGUGGCGGCGGCGCGCGAGCGCGAUCGAGCCGGACCCCACAUUCCUGGGAGCUCGAAAUAUCCUGGGAUCGUCUCUGAUCUGUCAGCCGUCAAGGUGUUCACAGGACAUUCAAGGAAAAAACAGAAUUUAAGAAGUGCAACAUGGCCAGGGGCUGCCUGUGCUGCCUCAAGUACAUGAUGUUCCUCUUCAAUUUGAU